AAGUCCUAUAACGAGCGNAACCCCUGUGGUUAGUUGCCAGCGAGUAAUGUCGGGAACUCUAGCCAGACUGCCGGUGCAAACCGCGAGGAAGUGGGGAUGACGUCAAAUCAUCACGGCCCUUACGUCCUGGGCUACACACGUGCUACAAUGGUAGGGACAGAGAGCAGCCACUGGGCGACCAGGAGCGAAUCUACAAACCCUAUCACAGUUCGGAUCGCAGUCUGCAACUCGACUGCGUGAAGCUGGAAUCGCUAGUAAUCGCAUAUCAGCCAUGAUGCGGUGAAUACGUUCCCGGGCCUU
rnacentral:rRNA from 1 species